rnacentral:rRNA from 1 species
GUGGGGAAUAUUGGACAAUGGGCGAAAGCCUGAUCCAGCCAUGCCGCGUGUGUGAAGAAGGUCUUCGGAUUGUAAAGCACUUUAAGUUGGGAGGAAGGGUAGUAACCUAAUACGUUGCUACUUUGACGUUACCGACAGAAUAAGCACCGGCUAACUUCGUGCCAGCAGCCGCGGUAAUACGAAGGGUGCAAGCGUUAAUCGGAAUUACUGGCCGUAAAGCGCGCGUAGGUGGUUCAGUAAGUUGGAAGUGAAAUCCCCGGGCUCAACCUGGGAACUGCUGUCAAAACUGCUGAGAUAGAGUACGGUAGUGGGUGGUGGAAUUACCUGUGGAGCGGUGAAAUGCGUAGGUAUAGGAAGGAACACCAGUGGCGAAGGCGACUACCUGGACUGAUACUGACACUGAGGUGCGAAAGCGUGGGGAGCAAACAGGAUUAGAAACCCGGGUAGUCC